rnacentral:rRNA from 2 species
CAAAUGACUCUCGGCAACGGAUAUCUCGGCUCACGCAUCGAUGAAGAACGUAGCAAAAUGCGAUACUUGGUGUGAAUUGCAGAAUCCCGUGAACCAUCGAGUUUUUGAACGCAAGUUGCGCCCGAAGCCAUUUGGUUGAGGGCACGUCUGCCUGGGCGUCACGCA